rnacentral:tRNA from 1 species
GGGUCUGUAGCUCAGCUGGUCAGAGCACACGCUUGAUAAGCGUGGGGUCGUUGGUUCAAAUCCAACCAGACCCACCA